rnacentral:tRNA from 1 species
GGAGGGGUCGGAUAAUGGCUAUUCCACCAGUCUUGAAAACUGGCGUCCGCAAGGACUUGUGGGUUCGAGUCCCACCCCCUCCGCCA